CCUACGGGAGACUGCAGUGGGGGAUAUUGCACAAUGGGGGAAACCCUGAUGCAGCGACGCCGCGUGGGUGAAGGAGCGCCUCGGCGCGUAAAGCCCUGUCAGCAGGGAAGAAAAUGACGGUACCUGAAGAAGAAGCCCCGGCUAACUACGUGCCAGCAGCCGCGGUAAUACGUAGGGGGCAAGCGUUAUCCGGAUUUACUGGGUGUAAAGGGGGCGCAGACGGCGAUGCAAGCCAGGAGUGAAAGCCCGGGGCCCAACCCCGGGACUGCUCUUGGAACUGCGUGGCUAGAGUGCAGGAGGGGCAGGCGGAAUUCCUGGUGUAGCGGUGAAAUGCGUAGAUAUCAGGAGGAACACCGGUGGCGAAGGCGGCCUGCUGGACUGCAACUGACGUUGAGGCCCGAAAGCGUGGGGAGCAAACAGGAUUAGAUACCCUUGUGUC
rnacentral:rRNA from 1 species